rnacentral:rRNA from 1 species
GACGAACGCUGGCGGCGUGCCUAACACAUGCAAGUCGAACGGAGUUUAGCUUAGUAGUUUACUACAGAGCUAAACUUAGUGGCGGACGGGUGAGUAACACGUGGGCAACCUACCCUAAAGAGGGGGAUAACACCGAGAAAUCGGUGCUAAUACCGCAUAAAAUUAAAGCUUUGCAUGAAGCUUUAAUCAAAGGAGCAAUCCGCUUUAGGAUGGGCCCGCGCCUGAUUAGCUAGUUGGUGAGGUAAUGGCUCACCAAGGCGACGAUCAGUAGCCGAUCUGAGAGGAUGACCGGCCACACUGGAACUGAGACACGGUCCAGACUCCUACGGGAGGCAGCAGUGGGGAAUAUUGCACAAUGGGGGGAACCCUGAUGCAGCGACGCCGCGUGGAGGAAGAAGGUCUUCGGAUUGUAAACUCCUGUCAUUCGGGACGAUAAUGACGGUACCGAAUGAGGAAGCCACGGCUAACUACGUG